CCUUAUGACCUGGGCUACACACGUGCUACAAUGGAUAGUACAAAGGGUCGCGAAGCCGCGAGGUGGAGCUAAUCCCAUAAAACUAUUCUCAGUUCGGAUUGUAGGCUGCAACUCGCCUACAUGAAGCCGGAAUCGCUAGUAAUCGUGGAUCAGCAUGCCACGGUGAAUACGUUCCCGGGCCUUGUACACACCGCCCGUCACACCACGAGAGUUUGUAACACCCGAAGUCGGUAGGGUAACCUUUAUGGAGCCAGCCGCCGAAGGUGGGACAGAUAAUUGGGGUGAAGUCGUAACAAGGUAGCCGUAUCGGAAGGUGCGGCUGGAUCACCUCCUUUCUAAGGAA
rnacentral:rRNA from 1 species